rnacentral:other from 1 species
CUUAGCCUCGAGUAGUUUUUGUUAAAUAAUAUGGCAGAACCUACAAUUAAUGUAUUAGGAAGCUAAAGGUUUUUUGGUGCGCACGCCCUCCGGCCAAGUACGAUUGAGGGAAGCCUAAAGAGAAAUCACGAAGCAUCCACUUUUUAGGAAGUGGGUUUCUCCUAUCAUAAAAAAGUACUUGAGGUGUUUU